rnacentral:rRNA from 1 species
GUGGAUUAGAUACCCUGGUAGUCCACGCCGUAAACGAUGGGUGCUAGGUGUCGCGGGCUUUGACCCCUGCGGUGCCGUAGCUAACGCAUUAAGCACCCCGCCUGGGGAGUACGGCCGCAAGGCUAAAACUCAAAGGAAUUGACGGGGGCCCGCACAAGCGGUGGAGCAUGUGGUUCAAUUCGACGCAACGCGCAGAACCUUACCUGGGCUAGAAAAUGCAGGGACCUGGUUGAAAAAUCGGGGUGCCUUUCGGGGAACCUGUAGUUAGGUGCUGCACGGUUGUCGUCAACU